GACCGAACCGACUAAUGUUGAAAAAUUAGCGGAUGACCUGUGGCUGGGGGUGAAAGGCCAAUCAAACCGGGAGAUAGCUGGUUCUCCCCGAAAGCUAUUUAGGUAGCGCCUCGUGAAUUCAUCUCCGGGGGUAGAGCACUGUUUCGGCUAGGGGGCCAUCCCGGCUUACCAACCCGAUGCAAACUGCGAAUACCGGAGAAUGUUAUCACGGGAGACACACGGCGGGUGCUAACGUCCGUCGUGAAGAGGGAAACAACCCAGACCGCCAGCUAAGGUCCCAAAGUCAUGGUUAAGUGGGAAACGAUGUGGGAAGGCCCAGACAGCCAGGAUGUUGGCUUAGAAGCAGCCAUCAUUUAAAGAAAGCGUAAUAGCUCACUGGUCGAGUCGGCCUGCGCGGAAGAUGUAACGGGGCUAAACCAUGCACCGAAGCUGCGGCAGCGACGCUGAUGCGUUGUUGGGUAGGGGAGCGUUCUGUAAGCCUGCGAAGGUGUGUCGUGAGGCAUGCUGGAGGUAUCAGAAGUGCGAAUGCUGACAUAAGUAACGAUAAAGCGGGUGAAAAGCCCGCUCGCCGGAAGACCAAGGGUUCCUGUCCAACGUUAAUCGGGGCAGGGUGAGUCGACCCCUAAGGCGAGGCCGAAAGGCGUAGUCGAUGGGAAACGGGUUAAUAUUCCCGUACUUGGUGUUACUGCGAAGGGGGGACGGAGAAGGCUAUGUUGGCCGGGCGACGGUUGUCCCGGUUUAAGCGUGUAGGUGUGUGUUCCAGGUAAAUCCGGUUCACUUUAACACUGAGGCGUGAUGACGAGGCACUACGGUGCUGAAGCAACAAAUGCCCUGCUUCCAGGAAAAGCCUCUAAGCAUCAGGUAACAUCAAAUCGUACCCCAAACCGACACAGGUGGUCAGGUAGAGAAUACCAAGGCGCUUGAGAGAACUCGGGUGAAGGAACUAGGCAAAAUGGUGCCGUAACUUCGGGAGAAGGCACGCUGACACGUAGGUGAAGUGAUUUACUCAUGGAGCUGAAGUCAGUCGAAGAUACCAGCUGGCUGCAACUGUUUAUUAAAAACACAGCACUGUGCAAACACGAAAGUGGACGUAUACGGUGUGACGCCUGCCCGGUGCCGGAAGGUUAAUUGAUGGGGUCAGCGCAAGCGAAGCUCCUGAUCGAAGCCCCGGUAAACGGCGGCCGUAACUAUAACGGUCCUAAGGUAGCGAAAUUCCUUGUCGGGUAAGUUCCGACCUGCACGAAUGGCGUAAUGAUGGCCAGGCUGUCUCCACCCGAGACUCAGUGAAAUUGAACUCGCUGUGAAGAUGCAGUGUACCCGCGGCAAGACGGAAAGACCCCGUGAACCUUUACUAUAGCUUGACACUGAACAUUGAGCCUUGAUGUGUAGGAUAGGUGGGAGGCUUUGAAGUGUGGACGCCAGUCUGCAUGGAGCCGGCCUUGAAAUACCACCCUUUAAUGUUUGAUGUUCUAACGUGGACCCGUGAUCCGGGUUGCGGACAGUGUCUGGUGGGUAGUUUGACUGGGGCGGUCUCCUCCUAAAGAGUAACGGAGGAGCACGAAGGUUGGCUAAUCCUGGUCGGACAUCAGGAGGUUAGUGCAAUGGCAUAAGCCAGCUUGACUGCGAGCGUGACGGCGCGAGCAGGUGCGAAAGCAGGUCAUAGUGAUCCGGUGGUUCUGAAUGGAAGGGCCAUCGCUCAACGGAUAAAAGGUACUCCGGGGAUAACAGGCUGAUACCGCCCAAGAGUUCAUAUCGACGGCGGUGUUUGGCACCUCGAUGUCGGCUCAUCACAUCCUGGGGCUGAAGUAGGUCCCAAGGGUAUGGCUGUUCGCCAUUUAAAGUGGUACGCGAGCUGGGUUUAGAACGUCGUGAGACAGUUCGGUCCCUAUCUGCCGUGGGCGCUGGAGAACUGAGGGGGGCUGCUCCUAGUACGAGAGGACCGGAGUGGACGCAUCACUGGUGUUCGGGUUGUCAUGCCAAUGGCACUGCCCGGUAGCUAAAUGCGGAAGAGAUAAGUGCUGAAAGCAUCUAAGCACGAAACUUGCCCCGAGAUGAGUUCUCCCUGAGACUUAGAGUCUCCUGAAGGAACGUUGAAGACGACGACGUUGAUAGGCCGGGUGUGUAAGCGCAGCGAUGCGUUGAGCUAACCGGUACUAAUGAACCGUGAGGCUUAACCUUACA
rnacentral:rRNA from 1 species